AUCACAAAUCCUUCAACAUAGUCGAAUGUAUUAUCUGCAGAUAUUAGAUGCUCUUGAUCUUCGGCAAAUGUUUGGAAAUCCAGGUACAGCACUCUAAUCCACUUCACCUGUUCAAAGGGCAGAAUUGUGUUAUGGUGCUGGUUCCAAUGAUAUUCUCGCCCGUGUUAUGAUGCCAAACUGUCCAAGGCCUCCAAGAACACUGUGGAAGAGAUCACUGCUCUGCUUCUCUGAACAACUUACCACCUCUCCUUUUCCUGCAUGCAGUUCCCGUCAAUUGUUCAGUUACAAACAUGGCGUAUCUACUUGCAGAUCAGGUGAGAGACUUAGCGGGACCAGUCCUGGAUUUGUUUUGACAGAGAAGAAGGUAAGUUGAGUAGGGGCAAUGGAGGAGGGUCCAUUACAUGUGAAAUUGAAUUGCAUGUGUUGUUUCUAUAAGCUAUGAUUGGUUGUGUUUGGACCCCAUUCAAAGAAAGUAAAA